GGAUGAGGAUUGGGGAUGGGGGCAGGGCAGGGGACACGGAAGGGGAUGGGGUGACGGGGACAGGGGGGCAGGGACAGGGCAGGGGAUGAGGAUUGGGGAUUGGGACAAGGAAGGGGACAGGGUGAUGGGGACAAGGAUGGGGGACAAGGAAGGGGACGAGGAUUGGGGAUGGGGACAGGGUGACAGGGACAAGAAUGGGGGACAGGGCAGGGGACGAGGAUGGGGGACAAGAAAGGGGACAGGGACAGGGCAGGGGACAAGGAUGGGGACAGGGGAUAAGGAUGGGGACGGGGACAGGGCAGGGGACGAGGAUUGGGGAUGGGGACAGGGCAGGGGACAAGGAUUGGGACGGGACAAGGAUGGGGACAGGGCAGGGGACAAGGAUGGGGGACGGGGAUGGGGACAGGGCUGGGGGACGAGGAAGAGGACGGGGAUGAUGGCAAGGAUGGGGACGGGGAUAGGGACAAGGUUGGGGAUGGGGACAGGGCAGGGGACAAGGACUCGGACAGGGGGACGGGGACAGAGCAGGGGACAAGGAUGGAGACGGGGGGAUGAGGACGGGGACAGGGGGAUGGGGACAAGGAUGGGGACGGGGACAGGACAGGGGACAAGGACUUGA
rnacentral:lncRNA from 1 species